CAGCAGCCACGGUAAAACGGAGGGUGCAAGCGUUACUCGGAAUCACUGGGCGUAAAGGACGCGUAGGCGGAUUAUCAAGUCUCUUGUGAAAUCUAACGGCUUAACCGUUAAACUGCUUGGGAAACUGAUAACCUAGAGUAAGGGAGAGGCAGAUGGAAUUCUUGGUGUAGGGGUAAAAUCCGUAGAUACCAAGAAGAAUACCUAUUGCGAAGGCGAUCUGCUGGAACUUAACUGACGCUAAUGCGUGAAAGCGUGGGGAGCAAACAGGAUUAGAUACCCCCGUAGUCCCUGUCUCUUAUAC
rnacentral:rRNA from 1 species